GACGUAGGGCGCGAGCGUUGUCCGGAUUUAUUGGGCGUAAAGAGCUCGUAGGCGGCUUGUCGCGUCGAAUGUGAAAACUCGGGGCUCAACUCCGAGCUUGCAUUCGAUACGGGCAGACUAGAGUGUGGUAGGGGAGACUGGAAUUCCUGGUGUAGCGGUGAAAUGCGCAGAUAUCAGGAGGAACACCGAUGGCGAAGGCAGGUCUCUGGGCCACUACUGACGCUGAGAAGCGAAAGCAUGGGGAGCGAACAGG
rnacentral:rRNA from 1 species